rnacentral:rRNA from 1 species
UUAAUGGAGAGUUUGAUCCUGGCUCAGGACGAACGCUGGCGGCGUGCCUAAUACAUGCAAGUCGAGCGGGGUUACUUAGAAGCUUGCUUCUAAAUAACCUAGCGGCGGACGGGUGAGUAACACGUAGGCAACCUGCCCACAAGACUGGGAUAACUACCGGAAACGGUAGCUAAUACCCGAUACAUCCUUUUCCUGCAUGGGAGAAGGAGGAAAGGCGGAGCAAUCUGUCACUUGUGGAUGGGCCUGCGGCGCAUUAGCUAGUUGGUGGGGUAAAGGCCUACCAAGGCGACGAUGCGUAGCCGACCUGAGAGGGUGAUCGGCCACACUGG